AUGAUACGCGAAGAACCUCACCCAGGUUUGACAUGCAUGUGGUACCAAGGUGAAAGCUGAGGGACCCUUCGGGGAGGCAUGCACAGGUGUUGCACGGCCGUCGUCAGCUCGUGCCGUGAGGUGUUGGGUUAAGUCCCGCAACGAGCGCAACCCCUCGUCGCCAGUUGAUUUUUUCUGGCGAGACUGCCGAGAAAACCUCGGAGGAAGGAGGGGACGGAUGUCAGGUCAGCGUGGCCCUUACGCCUGGGGCUACACACACGCUACAAUGGGCAGUACAACGGGUCGCGAAGCCGCGAGGUGGAGCUAAUCCCAUCAAAGCUGUCCUCAGUUCGGAUUGCAGGCUGAAACCCGCCUGCAUGAAGCCGGAGUUGCUAGUAACCGCAGGUCAGCAUUACUGCGGUGAAUACGUUCCCGGGCCUU
rnacentral:rRNA from 1 species